GCUGGGAUUCUGAGAAAUAGGCUUUUGUGAUAAAAGGGAGGGAUACAGCCGGCUGGCUGUCCACGUCUCUCUGUCAUGCCCUGGAACACGAGAGAGUCCCAGAGACACUGCCCGAGGACAGCUCAGCCACUGGACCAAGACCAGCACCUGCUUGCUUAUUUCACAACAAAAAGUGAACCCCAUCUGCUUUUUCCACUUUGGGUUUUCUGAACAUGAAACCAAAGAUAUUCUGAAACGAAACAUGUAUAGAAAGGAAGAAGAAAGAGGGAGAGAUGCCACUCCGUUGCCUCUCACACACCCCCAACUGGGAAUCAAACCAGAAACCUUUUGGUUUGCAGAUCGACACUCAACCCACUGAGCCACACCAGUAUCCUCUAGGUACAUCCAUGAUGUGGCAUGUUCGAGAAAUUCCACUCCCUUUCAGGAUGAAUAACACUCCAUUGUGUGUGGACACCAGUUGAUACUUCACCUGCCAGCGGACACUUCUGUGAAUGAGGCUGCUGUGCACACGGUGCACAGACACCGCUCAAGACCCUGCUUGUCUUUCUCUCGCACGUGCACCCACCAAGAGUGGAAUUGCUGGACGGACUAGUGACCCUAUGUUUAACUUCAGGACCACCUGCCGUACCAUUUCCCACAGUGGCUGCACCAUUUUACACUCCCACCUCCAGGGCUGAGGGCUGCCAUUUCCCCACGUCCUUGCCAGUGCAUGUUGUUUUCUGGUGUUUUAAAUAGCAGCCGUCCCAAUGGGUGUGCAGUGGUAUCUCACUGUGGCUUUGACUUGCAUUUCCCUGGUGAUAAGUGAUGCUGAGCAUCUUUUCAUGACUUGCUGGCCAUUUGUAAAUAUUUGAAGAAAUUGUCGUUUCAGUACUUCACCCAUUCCUUAAUUGGGUUGUGUUUUGUUACUGAGUUUUAGGAGUACUUCAUCGAUUCUGGAUAUUAA